AGGGCUGUGGCUCAGUGGUAGAGCAUGUGCUUCGCAUGCAGAAGGUUCCAGGUUCAAUCCAGGUAGGUCUG